UCUGGUGACUAUGCCGGAGGGGUUCCACCCGUUCCCAUACCGAACACGGAAGUUAAGACCUCCAGGGCUGAGAAUACUUGGACCGCAGGGUCCUGGGAAGGUAAGUCGUUGCCAGGU
rnacentral:rRNA from 1 species